rnacentral:rRNA from 1 species
AUGGCCAUGUUCGCGAUGGAGAGCGUCAUGCUGCCGGCGAGCAUGGUGCUGGUGCAGCUCUUCUCGAUCUUGCUAGUGCUUCUCUCCAAGCUCGCCCUCAACAUCGGCAUGCGGCCCUUCGUCCUCCUCGCCUACCGGAACCUCAUCGGCGCCGCCGCCAUCGCGCCCCUCACCUUCGUCUUCGAGAGGAAAAAAGCGAAAAUCCCAAACCUCAUAGAGUGGGGCUGGAUUUCCAUGAAUGCCACAUCCGGGGUUAUCCUGGCAAUGGGGCUGUACUACUAUGGACUGCGCGGCACCAACGCCACCUACUCCGUCGUCUUCCUCAACCUCAUCCCCAUUGUCACCUCCGUGGUUGCCAUCCUACUCCGGGCAGAGAAGUUGGUAUUCAGGAAGUGGCAUGGAAAGAUGAAGUUCUUGGGCAUCGUGACCUGUGUCGGGGGAACAAUGGUGGUCAGCCUCUACAAGGGCAAGAUGCUGCACCAUCCUUGGCCGACCCACCUGCUGAGGUCCCAUACUCAGGCGGCCGCAGCUCCAGCAGCUCACCACAACAUGGUCAUCGGCACAUUGUUCCUUUGCGGUAGCUGCCUCGGAUAUGCCUUCUGGUUCAUCAUACAGGUACUGGGUGGCGACGCUGACGUGUCUGUCGGGAAGCCUACAAGCAUUCGUCAUCGGCAUCCUCAUCGACCCUCACACGUCCGCAUGGAGGCUCAAGUGGGACCUGCAGCUCCUAACCAUUGUCUACUCGGGGGUAUUCAACACCGGUUUGCAUUGGUCCUCAUGUCGUGGGCGGUGAAGCGCCGUGGGCCCAUCUACCCCUCCAUGUUUAAUUCCCUCGCGAUGGUAGCGACGGUGAUCAUGGACUCGACACUGCUUGGCACCAGCAUCUUCUUAGGCAGCAUGAUAGGGACGGUGCUGGUCAUUGUGGGGCUAUACACAUUUCUGUGGGGGAAAGGGAAGGAGUUGCAGGAAGCUAUAUCGCUAACGAAGAACGCCGGUGAGAAUGAAGACCCUGGAGACGGUGGUGAGCAUGGUGAGCCAGUGUUGGAGGUGCGUCAUCGCGGCGAUGAAAUAGCAUAG